rnacentral:rRNA from 1 species
GUGGGGAAUUUUGGACAAUGGGCGCAAGCCUGAUCCAGCAAUGCCGCGUGAGUGAAGAAGGCCUUCGGGUUGUAAAGCUCUUUUGUCAGGGAAGAAACGGUGAAGGCUAAUAUCCUUUGCUAAUGACGGUACCUGAAGAAUAAGCACCGGCUAACUACGUGCCAGCAGCCGCGGUAAUACGUAGGGUGCAAGCGUUAAUCGGAAUUACUGGGCGUAAAGCGUGCGCAGGCGGUUUUGUAAGUUUGUCGUGAAAUCCCCGGGCUCAACCUGGGAAUGGCGAUGAAGACUGCAAGGCUAGAGUUUGGCAGAGGGGGGUAGAAUUCCACGUGUAGCAGUGAAAUGCGUAGAUAUGUGGAGGAACACCGAUGGCGAAGGCAGCCCCCUGGGUCAAAACUGACGCUCAUGCACGAAAGCGUGGGGAGCAAACAGGAUUAGAUACCCGAGUAGUCC